GAUGAACGCUGGCGGCGUGCCUAAUACAUGCAAGUCGAGCGAACAGACGAGGAGCUUGCUCCUCUGACGUUAGCGGCGGACGGGUGGGUAACACGUGGAUAACCUACCUAUAAGACUGGGAUAACUUCGGGAAACCGGAGCUAAUACCGGAUAAUAUAUUGAACCGCAUGGUUCAAUAGUGAAAGACGGUUUUGCUGUCACUUAUAGAUGGAUCCGCGCCGCAUUAGCUAGUUGGUAAGGUAACGGCUCACCAAGGCAACGAUGCGUAGCCGACCUGAGAGGGUGAUCGGCCACACUGGAACUGAGACACGGUCCAGACUCCUACGGGAGGCAGCAGUAGGGAAUCUUCCGCAAUGGGCGAAAGCCUGACGGAGCAACGCCGCGUGAGUGAUGAAGGUCUUCGGAUCGUAAAACUCUGUUAUUAGGGAAGAACAAAUGUGUAAGUAACUAUGCACGUCUUGACGGUACCUAAUCAGAAAGCCACGGCUAACUACGUG
rnacentral:rRNA from 1 species